rnacentral:rRNA from 1 species
UACGUAGGGGGGCAAGCGUUUGUCCGGAUUUAUUGGGCGUAAAGAGCGUGUAGGCGGUUAGGUAGGUCCGUUGUGAAAACUCGAGGCUCAACCUCGAGACGCCGAUGGAAACCAUCUGACUAGAGUCCGGAAGAGGAGAGUGGAAUUCCUGGUGUAGCGGUGAAAUGCGCAGAUAUCAGGAAGAACACCCGUGGCUAAGGCGGCUCUCUAGUACGGUACUGACGCUGAGACGCGAAAGCGUGGGGAGCGAACAG